GGAACAGGAAGUUCCGGGUUGGCGCGCCCCAUUAUUCAGAAUAAAGAAAGCACCAGAACUGUGCAGUCAGGAAGAUGAAUUUUGUGUCCGUUUCAAAUGUUUUACUACAGGUAAAAUGGAUGCCUCCCGGGUGCCCCGUUAACGGUAGAACCGCUGGGCCUCGAGGGACCCUCCUUCAAGCUAACCAGUCAUUCUAACUGGCAUAAAACACCUGGAAAUCAUUCCACUGAUUCCGCUCCAGUCAUUACCACGAGCCGUUCUCCCCAAUUAAGGCCUGUUCAGAUUGUCUGAGGCAGGUAACAUCAACAGUCUGGACAAACCUCUCCUUCCACACUGAGUCCUGAUUGUGACAGUGGAGCCCAGUUUGCACUGCAGGAUCCAGAGAUGG